rnacentral:rRNA from 1 species
UUAAGCAUAUCAAUAAGCGGAGGAAAAGAAACCAACAGGGAUUGCCCUAGUAACGGCGAGUGAAGCGGCAACAGCUCAAAUUUGAAAUCUGGCUCUCGGGCCCGAGUUGUAAUUUGUAGAGGAUGCUUUUGAUGCGGUGCCUUCCGAGUUCCCUGGAACGGGACGCCAUAGAGGGUGAGAGCCCCGUCUGGUUGGAUACCAAAUCUCUGUAAAGCUCCUUCGACGAGUCGAGUAGUUUGGGAAUGCUGCUCUAAAUGGGAGGUAUAUGUCUUCUAAAGCUAAAUACUGGCCAGAGACCGAUAGCGCACAAGUAGAGUGAUCGAAAGAUGAAAAGCACUUUGAAAAGAGAGUUAAAAAGUACGUGAAAUUGUUGAAAGGGAAGCGUUUAUGACCAGACUUGGGCUUGGAUAAUCAUCUGGGGUUCUCCCCAGUGCACUUUUCCAGUCCAGGCCAGCAUCAGUUUUCGCCGGGGGAUAAAGGCUUCGGGAAUGUGGCUCCCUCCGGGGAGUGUUAUAGCCCGUUGCGUAAUACCCUGGCGGGGACUGAGGUUCGCGCAUCUGCAAGGAUGCUGGCGUAAUGGUCAUCAACGACCCGUCUUGAAACACGGACCAAGGAGUCGUCUUCGUAUGCGAGUGUUCGGGUGUCAAACCCCUACGCGUAAUGAAAGUGAACGCAGGUGAGAGCUUCGGCGCAUCAUCGACCGAUCCUGAUGUUCUCGGAUGGAUUUGAGUAAGAGCAUACGGGGCCGGACCCGAAAGAAGGUGAACUAUGCCUGUGUAGGGUGAAGCCAGAGGAAACUCUGGUGGAGGCUCGCAGCGGUUCUGACGUGCAAAUCGAUCGUCAAACAUGGGCAUGGGGGCGAAAGACUAAUCGAACCUUCUAGUAGCUGGUUUCCGC